UACGGAGGGUGCAAGCGUUAUCCGGAUUUACUGGGUUUAAAGGGUGCGUAGGCGGGUUGAUAAGUCAGGGGUGAAACCUCCGAGCUUAACUCGGAAAUUGCCUUUGAUACUAUCAGUCUUGAAUUCAGUUGAGGUGGGCGGAAUGUGUCGUGUAGCGGUGAAAUGCUUAGAUAUGACACAGAACACCAAUUGCGAAGGCAGCUCGCUAAACUGACAUUGACGCUGAGGCACGAAAGCGUGGGGAGCAAACAGG
rnacentral:rRNA from 1 species